GCUACGGUGGUCUAGCGGUUAGAACGCUGGCCUUGUAAUCCUGGGGUCUCGGGUUCGAUUCCCGGCGGUGCCC
rfam:Zootermopsis nevadensis contig334, whole genome shotgun sequence.